CCUCUGGUGUACCAGUUGUCGUGCCAACGGCAUAGCUGGGUAGCUAUGUAUGGACGGGAUAAGUGCUGAAAGCAUCUAAGCAUGAAGCCCCCCUCGAGAUGAGAUUUCCCAACUUCGGUUAUAAGAUUCCUCGAAGAUGACGAGGUAAAUAGGUUCGAGGUGGAAGCGUAGUGAUACGUGGAGCUGACGAAUACUAAUCGAUCGAAGACUUAAUCAAAUU
rnacentral:rRNA from 1 species